rnacentral:rRNA from 1 species
GACGAACGCUGGCGGCGCGCCUAACACAUGCAAGUCGAACGAGCGAGAGAGAGCUUGCUUUCUUGAGCGAGUGGCGAACGGGUGAGUAACGCGUGAGGAACCUGCCUCAAAGAGGGGGACAACAGUUGGAAACGACUGCUAAUACCGCAUAAGCCCACGACCCGGCAUCGGGUCGAGGGAAAAGGAGCAAUCCGCUUUGAGAUGGCCUCGCGUCCGAUUAGCUAGUUGGUGAGGUAACGGCCCACCAAGGCGACGAUCGGUAGCCGGACUGGGAGGUUGAACGGCCACAUUGGGACUGAGACACGGCCCAGACUCCUACGGGAGGCAGCAGUGGGGAAUAUUGCACAAUGGGGGAAACCCUGAUGCAGCGACGCCGCGUGGAGGAAGAAGGUCUGCGGAUUGUAAACUCCUGUUGUUGAGGAAGAUAAUGACGGUACUCAACAAGGAAGUGACGGCUAACUACGUG